rnacentral:rRNA from 1 species
CAAGUCGAACGGCAGCACAGUUUGUAGCAAUACAGAUGGGUGGCGAGUGCGCGGACGGGUGAGUAAUACGUAGGGAUCUGCCUUGAAGAGGGGGAUAACCCGGGGAAACUCGGGCUAAUACCGCAUACUACUCUGAGGAGGAAAAGCUUGGUGAAAGCCAGGCGCUUUAAGAGGAACUUACGGCCGAUUAGCUAGUUGGUAGGGUAAAGGCCUACCAAGGCGAUGAUCGGUAGCUGGUCUGAGAGGAUGAUCAGCCACACUGGGACUGAGACACGGCCCAGACUCCUACGGGAGGCAGCAGUGGGGAAUAUUGGACAAUGGGGGCAACCCUGAUCCAGCGAUGCCGCGUGUGUGAAGAAGGCCUUCGGGUUGUAAAGCACUUUAGGUUGGGACGAAGGUUUGUUUGUGAAUAGCGAACAAGCUUGACGGUACUGACAGAAUAAGCACCGGCUAACUCUGUGCCAGCAGCCGCGGUAAUACAGAGGGUGCGAGCGUUAAUCGGAGUUACUGGGCGUAAAGGGCGCGUAGGCGGUGAUUUAAGUGAGAUGUGAAAUCCCCGGGCUUAACCUGGGAAUUGCAUUUUAGACUGAGUUACUGGAGUACAGUAGAGGGUGGUGGAAUUUCCGGUGUAGCGGUGAAAUGCGUAGAGAUCGGAAGGAACAUCAGUGGCGAAGGCGACCACCUGGACUGAAACUGACGCUGAGGCGCGAGAGCGUGGGGAGCAAACAGGAUUAGAUACCCUGGUAGUCC